AACUUAUCGCGUAAGCGUGACGAGGUUAAUCCGAGUGGCCCCCGCUGAGGGGGUCUUUUGUCAGCUGUAAAUAGGCAGGCGAAUAAGGGGAGGGCAAGCCUGGUGUCAGCCGCCGCGGUAAUACCAGCUCCUCGAGUGGUCGGGGCGAUUAUUGGGCCUAAAGCAUCCGUAGCCGGUUCCGUGGGUCCUCUGUUAAAUCCAUCAGCUUAACUGAUGACCUGCAGAGGAUACCGCGGGACUAGGAGGCGGGAGAGGCGGACGGUACUCCGCGUGUAGGGGUAAAAUCCUUUGAUCCGCGGAAGACCACCAGUGGCGAAGGCGGUCCGCCAGAACGCGCUCGACGGUGAGGGAUGAAAGCUGGGGGAGCGAACCGGAUUAGAUACCCGGGUAGUCCCAGCCGUAAACGAUGCUAGCUAGAUGGUUCAUUCGCAAGUCGCGAAUGAAGUGUCGCAGGGAAGCCGUUAAGCUAGCCGCCUGGGGAGUACGGUCGCAAGACUGAAACUUAA
rnacentral:rRNA from 1 species